rnacentral:rRNA from 1 species
CGCCUGCCUAGUGACCCGCUUUUAACGGCCGCGGUAUCCUAACCGUGCAAAGGUAGCAUAAUCACUUGUUCUCUAAAUAAGGACUGGAAUGAACGGCUAAAUGAAGACUAAGCUGUCUCUUGCAGACUACCUAUAAAACUGAUCCCCUAGUCAAAAAGCUAGGAUUUUAACACAAGACGAGAAGACCCUGUGGAGCUUAUAAAUCAACCUCAUAACAUGACCCCCUGGUUUUUAGUUGGGGCGACUUCGGAGUACAAAAAACCCUCCGACUUACUACCUAGAUAGACAUAUCAAACAUCUGUUCUGACCCAGUAGCUCAGUGCUAACUGAUUAACGAACCAAGUUACCCCAGGGAUAACAGCGCUAUCCUCUUUUAGAGUUCUUAUCGACAAGGGGGCUUACGACCUCGAUGUUGGAUCAGGACACCCCAAUAGUGCAGCCGCUAUUAAUGGUUCGUUUGUUCAACGAUUAAAGUCCUACGUGA